rnacentral:rRNA from 1 species
UACAGAGGUCUCAAGCGUUGUUCGGAAUCACUGGGCGUAAAGGGUGUGUAGGCUGUGCGUUAAGUCAGAUGUGAAAGCCCAGGGCUCAACCUUGGAACUGCAUCCGAUACUGGCGUGCUAGAGAAUUGGAGAGGAGUCUAGAAUUCACGGUGUAGCAGUGAAAUGCGUAGAUAUCGUGAGGAAUACCAAGUGCGAAGGCAGGACUCUGGACAUUUUCUGAACGCUGAGACACGAAGGCUAGGGGAGCAAACGGG